CUCGGCCUCCCUAAGUUUUCGGAUCACAGGCGUGAGCCACCACGCCCAGCCGGAUUGCAAUUUUAAAUAGCAUAAUCAGAGAGGCUUAAUGGAAGAGGUAAUAUUUGAGGAAAGACCUGAAGAAGGUAAGGGAGUAGGCACUGAAGAUAUUGGGGGAACAGUGCUCCCCGAGACAUCUGGGCAGCCAGGCACAGGGACCACAAGCAGAAAAGGGUCCUGUGAGGGUUUCGUGUUUUCUUUACAAUUUGUCAAUGUGAACACCAUGCUCACACCAAAGAACAGCAAGUUUCCUACCUGGCUUCUCUGCCUUCCUCCUUCCUUCCCUCCCUUCCUCCCUCCUUCCUUCCUUUCUUCCUUUCUUCCUUCCGUUCUCCCUUUCUUCCCAAUAUGCCCCACUUCAAUGGAUGAGUUUUCCAGCUCCCUCGGCUGCUUUCUGCAUUGCACAUGACAAGUAUCCACUAAAUAUUCAUUCAUUAGAAACAGCCAGACGAUGCUGAGCCUCUGUAGCUCUCUAGCAUCUACCAUAGCACAGAUCUCAGGAAGACCCACAAGAUACAUUUGUCAACAAGUCGAUGGCCUCCUAUGUGGCCCUGUGCUGUGUGCUGAGGCUACAGGAAGGAACAAAGCCUCCUAUCUGGGGGCCCACUUCUGCAGUUAAGUUCAUCUGGUGUCCUUUGUAAUACUGCAAAGAGAACUUCUUACGCUGUAGCUGAAUGAGAGAAAUAUCCCAUUCCAAACCUCUGAUGGAAACUGGCCAAGUCAGCGUGUGAGAGGAAGAAGGAAGAAAAAGUUUGCCUACCCUUGCACCGGAAGCAGGAGGGAAAGAGAUGGGCUUGUUGGAAACCAGGAAAGGAGAAAUUGACAGAGCUGCAGGGAGCAAUCCCUUUCCACCUUCACCCAGGACUGAGAUCAUGUCAUACAAAAGCCCUGUGUUGUUCAGAGGACCAGAGGGGCUGGAGUGGAGUGAAGUGGUGUGAUCUCGGCUUACUGCAACCUCUGCCUCCCAGGUUCAAGCGAUUCUCCUGCCUCAGCCUCCUGAGUAGCUGGGAUCACAGACGCCUGCCAUCAUGCCUGGCUAAUUUUUGUAUUUUUAGUAGAGAUGGGGUUUCGCCAUGUUGGUCAGGCUGGUCUCGAACUCCUGACCUCAAGUGAUCCACCUGCCUCGGCCUCCCAAAGUGCUGGAAUUACAGGCAUGAACCACUGCACCUGGCCUCUAUUACCUUUAAAAGUGCUCCUUGAAGAGAAAAUCCACUCUGCCGUUUCAAGCUUGACUUCCCUCCCCAGUCUUAGAGACUGAUCACUGGGGCAGAGUGACAUUUUCCCACAAUGCUGGCUCAUUAUUUUCCUCCUGGAAUUGCAAAUCCAAGGGACAAGUGGUACAGCCUGCACCCAUCCAGAAGGGGAGGGAAUCCCACCAGAGGUGCCCUGAAACAAAGAAAACAAGUAACUUCAAAACCACAUCCUAAAAUCUGGACCUGUGACAGGACAGAUGGAACUCUGGAUUGUUUGAUUCUAUCAGCAGAACAGAGGAAGGAAAUGUUUUAAAACGAGAUUAUGUUAUUUUCCCCAGUUAUUAUGAAGCCUUCCUGAAAUGAACUUUAAAUAUCGGCCACCACUUUCAUGAGGCUGAAUGGGAUUCAGCAAUUAGGAGCGUUGCAGGGAAGUGUGGCAGGGCAGAGGUGGGACAAAUUGCAGAUCCCUGUGGGGUCCCUUGGUUAGGUGACAAUUAGUCUAUAAAACACAGCUGUGUGUGUUAGGGAGGGAGUGGUGUCUUUAAAAAGCUCUGUGCCCAAUAGGAACAUUAAUUAAAGGGUCUUUUUUCAAAGGACAUUAAUAAUAAUGAAUAAAAAGCCUUCUGCGA
rnacentral:lncRNA from 1 species